rnacentral:rRNA from 1 species
ACUCAAAGGAAUAGACGGGGACCCGCACAAGCGGUGGAUGAUGUGGAUUAAUUCGAUGCAACGCGAACAACCUUACCUACCCUUGACAUGUCUGGAAGCCUGCUGAGAGGCGGGUGUGCCCGAAAGGGAACCGGAACACAGGUGCUGCAUGGCUGUCGUCAGCUCGUGUCGUGAGAUGUUGGGUUAAGUCCCGCAACGAGCGCAACCCUUGUCCCUAGUUGCUACGCAAGGGCACUCUAGGGAGACUGCCGGUGACAAACCGGAGGAAGGUGGGGAUGACGUCAAGUCCUCAUGGCCCUUAUGGGUAGGGCUUCACACGUCAUACAAUGGCCGGUACAGAGGGUUGCCAAACCGCGAGGUGGAGCCAAUCCCAGAAAGCCGGUCGUAGUCCGGAUUGCAGUCUGCAACUCGACUGCAUGAAGUCGGAAUCGCUAGUAAUCGCGGAUCAGCAUGUCGCGGUGAAUACGUUCCCGGGUCUUGUACACACCGCCCGU